CCUACGGGGUGCACCAGUGGGGAAUUUUCCGCAAUGGGCGAAAGCCUGACGGAGCAAUGCCGCGUGUGUGAAGAAGGUCUUCGGAUUGUAAAGCACUUUCGACGGGGACGAUGAUGACGGUACCCGUAGAAGAAGCCCCGGCUAACUUCGUGCCAGCAGCCGCGGUAAUACGAAGGGGGCUAGCGUUGCUCGGAAUGACUGGGCGUAAAGGGCGCGUAGGCGGUUUAUGCAGUCAGAUGUGAAAUCCCCGGGCUUAACCUGGGAACUGCAUUUGAGACGCAUAGACUAGAGGUCGAGAGAGGGUUGUGGAAUUCCCAGUGUAGAGGUGAAAUUCGUAGAUAUUGGGAAGAACACCGGUGGCGAAGGCGGCAACCUGGCUCGAUACUGACACUGAGAGACGAAAGCUAGGGGAGCGAAUGGGAUUAGAUACCCUAGUAGUC
rnacentral:rRNA from 1 species